AAAUGUUAAAGCAAAAACCAUAAAACAUAUAAUAUAAUUUCAAAUUCUAGAUGCAUUGUUCAAUUACAUUCAUCAUGUCAUGCAAACUCAAAAUCCUAUUUAUCUAGUCAUCUUGUAGAUGCUAAAAGGUGAAAACAAAUCAAGUUAGCUUUUCUCAUUCUCAAUUUUUUUUUUUAAAUUUCUUGCCUUUUUCUCACCUAGGGGUGCCUGAUGAUGCCUCGCUUGGGCGCCUAGGCAGUGCUUAGUUGAAGAUGCUUUGCUUGGAGCCUUCCCAGGUGAGGUGCCUAGAUUUUGCCUCGUCCAGGAGGCUAGGCAAGCGCCCGGGUGCCUCGUGACAACACUGAGAUGAAAGAAUAAAAAUUAUAAUUAGAAAGUCAUCAAAGUUGAUACUGAAAAAAAGUGAAGACAAAGAAGAUGGUUUCUGACAGUAUUGAGUUGUUUAAUAACAUCAAGUAGGACAGUUAGUAAAUGUUCAGGUGAAGUCAAAAACUAAUACAGGAAAAAUCAGAAAGAUUUCUUUAAAAUAAGUGAUAAAAAAGGAAGAUGAAGUAAGGUUUGACCGUAUAUGGCUGUUUUAUAGUCGUAUUUCUGCACCCCAUUGAUGUCAUGAACGGUAUUUAGGGAAUACUUUUGGCAAAUUUGAAGUUAAUUGAUCAAUGAGUUCAUAAACAUUUGAAGAAACAAAAAUAAGUUAUGGAACUCUAAUGAAAUUUCUUGUGAAAUACAUCACUUUAGAAUUCUUUGUGCCCAUAGUUAUUAAAGGUGCAAUGCACAUUAAGCCUCAAGAGGUCUUGGAGCCUAGGUGCAAGGCACAGGUAGGUGAGAAAAGAAUACAACAGUUCAUAUUAACAGCAUGAAAUAAUUAGAAUUCUUCUGAUUAUUUAGCUAAAAAUUAUUUUUAAUAGACAAUAUAAGCAUAAUAGACAAUCAUCAAUUCAUGCAAAUUAGUUUAAUGGUUAAUGGAUUAUUCUAAAAAGAAAGGUGAGAAAAAAGAGAGGCAGCAAAUGCAGGCUGAAGAAAAGGGAGUGAGAAAAGGAGAAAAACAAAAGAAAAAAGGGACAAUCAGAGGCAACUAGAUGGAUUGAAGAAAAGGGAGUGAAGAAUAGGAUAGGCUUAACAAAUUUAAAAAAAAAAAAACCUCUUGUGCCUUUUUUUCUCUUUUAUUUUUUUUUAUUUGUUUAUUUUUUGACUUGGUACACAUGAUUUCAUGGUAAGUUCACUUAUAAAGUAACAAGUUUUUGAAAUUGAAUAUACUACUUUCCUAAUUUUGAGCUGAUACAUACAUCUUUCACAUACAAACAUUGGAAACCUAUAUCAAGAAAUAAGUGAAUGGUAAUCUUAAUUCUAAGAGAGACAAUUACCUUAGUUGACUUGGUUUCUAUUAUUGUAAUUUCUCUUAUAGGUGGCAUUCCUAUGUUUGGUUUGCAUGGGAAUAUUGUUUUCCCAGGAAAGUUACUUCAUGAACUGGUGGUUCCCACCACAACUUUCCCAUCCUAAAGGUUGGGAAAGUUACAUCCCCAUGGGAAUGUUAUGUUAGAAAAAUUAUAUAAAAAAUAUUGUCCUUAAUUACAAUUAUGUUUGGACCAACAUAAAGCAUUAUAAGUAUUAUUUGUUAUAUAAUAACAAGACUAUAUAUUUUUUCAUCUUUUGGAAAAAAAGCAAUGUACACUUUUUUUUUUCUAAUGAUAUUAAAAUCUUGCGUUGAAUUUGAUUCAACUUAAAAAUUUCAUACAUUUUGUAUUCCAUCAAUCACGUAAUUAAAUAUUAAUUUAAAAACUUAUAGAUUAACAACUUAGGUAAAUAAAAUGAAUUCAUGUUAGAGGUACUAUAGUAAUUCAUUACACUUUUUUGUUUAAUUUUAUUUAUUGACCUGCAAAAUAUUUCAAAGAAACUUAUAUUCUAAUAAAAAAUGAUAGUGUCAUUUUCCUUGAAUCUAUUACCUGGAAAUCCACCUGGGAAGUGAUUUUAGAUGGGAAUGUAGAAUUCUGGUAGCUAAAAGCCCUUGUAACAUAAUUUGUGAUCAUUUGACGAAUCCCUAUGAUUUCACUCUCAAUAGAAAUUCAAUUCAACAGUGCAGAUUUUACAAGGAAUUAAGUAAAUGGUAAUCCCAACUCUAGGAGAGACGAUUGCCUUGGUUGACAUAGUUUCUAACAAUGCACUGUCUCCUAUUAGAUAGUUUAUUGUUAUUUGACAAAUCCCUAUGAUUUCACUCCAAUGGAAAGUUAAUUAAAUAGUGAAGAUUUUCAAAUCAAAUAACAAUUGAAAGAAAAAAGAAAAACACAUUUGCAGCCUUAAAUCUCAUAGAGGCUUGCCUAGGCAUGCGCCUCAGGAGGGUCACCAACUUUUGGUGUUUGAGGCGAUAUGGUUGUGGCCUGUGCACCUUGCACCUGAGCCUUGAUGCACACCUCAUUUAGUAACUAUGUCCCGCCCCUAAAGUCUUGUUAACAUCAGAACUCAAACCACACGUAAUCCUGAAGAGACAAAAGCUUUUAGCAUUCUCCUGAACAUUGAUAUCCAUUUCAUUGUACCAAAAUGAUUGGUUACAACAGUAUGUUUAUAAAGAGAUUCUUUAAAUACCUUAUACUUACUGGAAUUGGAAUCCUUGGUAGGAAAUUGAUGCAAACAGUCAAUUUUUUUUUUUUAAAUUAUUUGAUAUAAGAAAUGCAAAAUUUGUUGUUAUUUAGAAAAUUUGUGGGAAUUUUCUUUUUAGGAUUUGUUUGCUUCCUGUUAAUGUGUAGUAAGAAUUCUCCUAUUUGGUUAACUAAUUCUAAUGGGAUAACUACACUUACAAUUUAAAUUGUUGUAGGCUUGAUGAUAGAAUUAGUUUGAAAGCAUAUCUGCCUGU
rnacentral:misc_RNA from 1 species